AGGAACUUAUAGAUCCAAAGCUACAUAAUGAAUAGAAUGAUUUUACUCAUUUGCAUUGUUGAACUUCUAAUCCAAACAUCAACUUCGGCAUGGUAUAGAACAACCUAUUUCCGUCCAAGUAAAUGGGGGGUAAAGACAACCAAUUACCAUUCAUGGAAAUGGGAUGCAAAGGGAUUCCUAUCUCGGUGGGACGUCCAAGGUGAUUCUGCAGACGAAGAUUUGGAAGAUUUUUUAUUCGAAUAAGAAGCUAAAGCACCAAUUGCAGCCACGUCAUAAGAACUGUUUUUCAAAUUGAAGUAUAGAUAUGAACAUUUCGUUGACACGCAUAAUGCUAGUGCGUUUUUCUUUUGCUUGUGUGUAUUUUUAGUAUCUU